rnacentral:rRNA from 1 species
AUUGAACGCUGGCGGCAGGCCUAACACAUGCAAGUCGGACGGUAGCACAGAGGAGCUUGCUCUUCGGGUGACGAGUGGCGGACGGGUGAGUAAUGUCUGGGGAUCUGCCCGAUAGAGGGGGAUAACCACUGGAAACGGUGGCUAAUACCGCAUAACGUCGCAAGACCAAAGAGGGGGACCUUCGGGCCUCUCACUAUCGGAUGAACCCAGAUGGGAUUAGCUAGUAGGCGGGGUAACGGCCCACCUAGGCGACGAUCCCUAGCUGGUCUGAGAGGAUGACCAGCCACACUGGAACUGAGACACGGUCCGGACUCCUGCGGGAGGCAGCAGUGGGGGAUAUUGCACAAUGGGCGCAAGCCUGAUGCAGCCAUGCCGCGUGUAUGAAGAAGGCCUUCGGGUUGUAAAGUACUUUCAGCGGGGAGGAAGGCGAUGUGGUUAAUAACCGCGUCGAUUGACGUUACCCGCAGAAGAAGCACCGGCUAACUCCGUGCCAGCCGCCGCAGUAA